rnacentral:lncRNA from 13 species
AUGAAUCCAGAGCCUCUCAGCCAGUCUGGAAGGGUGACUCGGCUGAUGGAGAGAAAUUAUGAUGGGGUGAUCUCAUCCUCCAACUCUGAUGACAUCUCUAUCUACUCCUUCACUGACUGUGAAUCUGAGAUUAUUGUGGCCAAGCCCAACAUCCUUCUCCCUGCCUCUGUGAGUGCCCUGAAGAAGGCAUCACACCUGAUGGAGUUGGUCCCUACUGUCCAGCCCUGCAGGGAGCAGCUGGACAAGAAGACACAGUGGACCAACACCAACGAGGAGAGCCUGAGGAGGAUUAAAAAAAAACUGGCCUCCAUAGAGCUCGACCUGGAGGAAGGCCUGAACAAGGUCAACGACAGUCAGGACAUCAACCAAGAGAGGAAGAAGAAUGAGGGAUGCUUCAGAGCCUGGAUUGAGAAGUGGAUGGGGAGGAGGAAGGAGGAAAGACUGAGGGAUGAAGAUGUGAAUAGGGAAGACAAAGGGGGGAUGGGCGAGGAAGUGAGGGCACUGAUCCAAGUGAUGAAGAGAAACUGCAAUGAAAGUGAUCUUGAGGCAGUAAACCUGGACAGUUGGCUGAAUGACUUGGAAAGGUUGAAAGUGGCCUUCAAGAAAUGCACUGGAGAGAUGGCCGAAAUGAGCCCAGGGAAAGUCUCUGGUCCUGUGUCUGGCCUCUCUCCUCUUGUGACCUCAGCACCCCGGACCCUGGCUGAAGCCCUACAAGCCCUGCCCUCUGCUGUGGCCCGUCCCUCCCAAAAGGAUGUCCCAAAGCCUCCGACACCUCCAAGCCCUGUCUCUGUCAUUGUUGCUUCGCCUGCUGUGGAGUACUUACCAUACCACCGCAGCCCUCGCCUGGCCCCAAUCACCAACCUGAGUGAGAACGGCAAGAAGCUGCUCCAGAAAAUGUCAGGAGUGACGCCACAGGUUUCUCCAGUGGCUGCUGCCCAAACUGAGAUGUUCGAAGAAAUAAUGGCCAACUACUACUACAACACACACACACACACACAUACUCACAGAGAUUUUGAGUAUUGCUUACUCCUCCAACACACAGCAAAAUACACAUAAUGAUAUUGGUCUCUUUGUUAUAUUUUCAGACAUGCACCAUUAUUAAAAAAAUAAAAAAAGACCCAAUAAUUAUAUUGGUUCCCAUACAGCCUACUAGGGUAGCGUAUGAUAAUGGGUUGGAUUUACAUAGCGUGUAGUUAUCAGGCUUGGAAAUAUAGCCAGGAGAUGCAGGGUCAACACCCCUACUCAUGUCAUAAGUGCCAUGAGAUGUUUAGUGACCACAGAGAGAUAGGACCUCUGUGUGCACAGUCUCAUCCGAAGGACAGCACCGGCCGCAGGGCAGUGUCUGGCAUUGGGGUCUUAGGUCUUCUUUGGCCAAAGGGAAGUGAAGAGGGCCAGUAUGAGAGAGCAAGAACUUUCUUAGCAGAUAAUGAUAACAUGACAACAGUAGCUGUAGAUGAUGUAAUGAAAAGUUGGAGGGUGGUUGGUAAUGGAGAACGUCAGGUGGAUCCACGUCUGGGUGUUGGGCAGGACCCCUAGCUCCUGGAGAACAGGAGCAGAGUUCAAGGGAACAGGGUAGGAGACAGAGACGUAAACACUCCGGUAGCUCUCCUUCUGUUUCUCCUGCGCCUUGUCCAUGUUCUGUCUCACCUUGAUUGAUGACAGGAAUACAUGCAAUUAUAUUUCAUAUUACAAAUACAUUUCUUACAUAUCUCUUGGAGGGACAGAAAAUAAAUUAACAGCAGACAAUCAUUUUUACCUGGUCAAAAACCUCCACGUCCUUCUCAGUCUGUGCCUGAAGGUAGUACUCAAAGGCGUUCCGAUCUGGUUCGACAACUUCCACCACAUCAGGUGGGGUUUCAGUGAUCUGAAAGUACGUUAUGCAAAAAUAGCAAUAGACAAACACUAAGUCAAUCCCAAUUUUGAAAGACUACAGUAAAUGCAAUAAUUGUAUAUACAAUUGCAUUGUUUACCUCAGUCAACAGCUGCGGCUCCUGUCCAUACUCAGCCUGGAUGCUGCUGUUGUGUGCAAAGAGAAUUAAUUACCUUCAGGUUGUUCUCCCACCCUUCCUGAUACCAAUCAAGGGACUUGCCCAUGGCAGUCUUGAGGGUCUGGUUGGUCAUUCACCAAACCUGGAGGAGGGGGUAGGAAAGCAAUAUCUAUUGACAAUGUACUUUAAGAUAUUGAAAUAUAUCUGAUUGUGUACCAUGGAAAAACAAAAACAAAUUGUAAAAAAUAAAUAUAACAAACCAUUGGUGACAGAAUAUAACCUAUAACAUACUUACCUUGUUCCAGCAUUCAUGACCUCGGUCAUUCAAAAUGACCUCAGGAGAACCGUGGGUGUUGAAGAUGUCCACUAUUGCCUUGGCCUCGCUAGUCUCGUCCUUGAUGGUUAUCAUACAAAACAAAAAUCUUUUUUUGGUUCCAACCACCCUUUUAAAUGGUUACAGAAGGGAAUUUAGAGUUAAGCACGUACACUUCCUUUACUGACCUUAAUGGGUAUGAUCAGUCGCCGUCAGACACCAACUGUUGCCACUCAUGGAUUUCGUGAAGGGUUCGAUGAGGUCCACUCCUAACAUUUAAAGUGUUAGAGAGAUUUCAAUCAAAUGUAUUUAUAAAGCCCUUUUUACAUCAGCCGAUGUCACAAAGUGCUAUACAGAAACCCAGCCUAAAACCCCAAACAGCAAGCAAUGCAGAUGUGGAAGCACGGUUGCUAGGAAAAACUCCAUAGAAAGGAACCUAGGAAGAAACCUAGAGUGGAACCAGGCUCUGAGGGGUGGCCAGUCCUCUUUUGGCUGUACCGGGUGAAGAUAUAACAGUACAUGGCCAAGAUGUUCAAACAUUCACAUCAGGUCUGGGACAGGUAGCACGUCCAGUGAACAGGUCAGGGUUCCAUAGCCGCAGGCAAAACAGUUGAAACUGGAGCAGCAGCAUGACCAGGUGGACUGGGGACAGCAAGGAGUCAUCAGGCCAGUUAGUCCUGAGGCUUGGUCCUAGGGCUCAGGUCCUCUGAGAGAAGAGAACGAGAAAGAGCGAGAGAAUUAGAGGGAGCAUACUUAAAUUUACACAAAACACCAGAUAAGACAGGAGAAAUACUCCAGAUAUAACAGACUGACCCUAGCCCCCUGACAUAAAUUAUUUCAGCAUAAUUACUGGAGGCUGAGACAGGGCCAACCAGGCAGGAUAUAACCCCACCCACUUUGACAAAGUACAGCCCCCACCAACUUACUAUCCUGAGACAAGGCCGAGUAUAGCCCAUGAAGAUCUCCCCUACGGCACGACCCCGAGGGGGGAACCAACCCGUACAGGAAGAUCACGUCAGUGACUCAAACCACUCAAGUGACGCACCCCUCCUAGGGACGGCAUGGAAGAGCACCAGUAAGCCAAUGACUCAGCCCGGUAAUAGGGUUAGAGGCAGAGAAUCCCAGUGGAGAGAGGGGAAAAUACUUAAAGGUCGAGACUGAGUCUGCUUCUCACAUGGAUAGUCAGACCAUUCCAUAACAAUUGAGCUCUAUAGGAGAAAGCCUUGCCUCCAGCUGUUUGCUUAGAAAUUCUGGGGACAAUAAGGAGGCCUGCGUAUUGUGACCGUAGCGUACGUGUAGGUAUGUACGGCAGGACCAAAUCGGAAAGAUAGAUAGGAGCAAGCCCAUGUGAAGCUUUGAAGGUUAGCAGUAAAACCUUGAAAUCAGCCGUAGCCUUAACGGGAAGCCAGUGUAGAGGCUAGCACUGGAGUAAUAUGAUCAAAUGUUUUGGUUCUAG